GGUUGGUCCAAGCUCAGUAGUGUUUGCAACUAACUGAUCACAGCCAGUUACAGAUUCCUUUGUUCCUUCUCCACUGCCACUGCUUCACUUGAGUAGCCUUAA
rnacentral:Y_RNA from 1 species